rnacentral:rRNA from 1 species
AUUGAACGCUGGCGGCAUGCCUUACACAUGCAAGUCGAACGCGAAAGCGGGGGCAACUCCGCAAGUAGAGUGGCGAACGGGUGAGUAAUGCAUCGGAACGUGCCCAGUCGUGGGGGAUAACCAGUCGAAAGACUGGCUAAUACCGCAUGAGACCUGAGGGUGAAAGCAGGGGAUCCGCAAGGACCUUGCGCGACUGGAGCGGCCGAUGCCGGAUUAGCUAGUUGGUGGGGUAAAAGCCCACCAAGGCGACGAUCCGUAGCUGGUCUGAGAGGACGAUCAGCCACACUGGAACUGAGACACGGUCCAGACUCCUACGGGAGGCAGCAGUGGGGAAUUUUGGACAAUGGGGGCAACCCUGAUCCAGCCAUGCCGCGUGAGUGAAGAAGGCCUCGG